UUCGUUAUUUUGAUUUUUUUCUAGUGGGUACUGAUGAUCUUAUUUGCCUUGUCUAUAACAUCAGUGGUUGAAGGACAAAAUGGCAGCUACACCGUGUCCUGUCUGACUGGAAAUAUGGUAUUCUGGUUCAAACCGUACGACUACUCGUCCUUUAGAACAAAAUAUCCUUCCAGCAAAGUGUAUGUGGAGGGCUAUGGAAACGACUCGAGGUGCGUGAGUCAAAAUGACGCCACAAACGGGCGGUAUGUUGUGUCUAUACCCCUGGCAAA